rnacentral:rRNA from 1 species
AGUCGAGCGGUAAGGCCCUUCGGGGUACACGAGCGGCGAACGGGUGAGUAACACGUGGGUGAUCUGCCUCGCACUUCGGGAUAAGCCUGGGAAACUGGGUCUAAUACCGGAUAUGACCUGCUGUCGCAUGGCGGUGGGUGGAAAGAUUUAUCGGUGCGAGAUGGGCCCGCGGCCUAUCAGCUUGUUGGUGGGGUAAUGGCCUACCAAGGCGACGACGGGUAGCCGGCCUGAGAGGGCGACCGGCCACACUGGGACUGAGACACGGCCCAGACUCCUACGGGAGGCAGCAGUGGGGAAUAUUGCACAAUGGGCGAAAGCCUGAUGCAGCGACGCCGCGUGAGGGAUGACGGCCUUCGGGUUGUAAACCUCUUUCGACAGGGACGAAGCGCAAGUGACGGUACCUGUAGAAGAAGCACCGGCCAACUACGUGCCAGCAGCCGCGGUAAUACGUAGGGUGCGAGCGUUGUCCGGAAUUACUGGGCGUAAAGAGCUUGUAGGCGGUUUGUCGCGUCGUCCGUGAAAACUUGGGGCUCAACCCCAAGCUUGCGGGCGAUACGGGCAGACUUGAGUACUGCAGGGGAGACUGGAAUUCCUGGUGUAGCGGUGAAAUGCGCAGAUAUCAGGAGGAACACCGGUGGCGAAGGCGGGUCUCUGGGCAGUAACUGACGCUG